UACGGGGGGGGCAAGCGUUGUUCGGAAUUACUGGGCGUAAAGGGCUCGUAGGCGGCCAACUAAGUCGGACGUGAAAUCCCCAGGCUCAACCUGGGAACUGCGUCCGAUACUGGAUGGCUUGAAUCCGGGAGAGGGAUGCAGAAUUCCAGGUGUAGCGGUGAAAUGCGUAGAUAUCUGGAGGAAUACCGGUGGCGAAGGCGGCAUCCUGGACCGGUUCUGACGCUGAGGCGCGAAAGCGUGGGUAGCAAACAGG
rnacentral:rRNA from 1 species